UGGGGAAUAUUGCACAAUGGGCGCAAGCCUGAUGCAGCGACGCCGCGUGGGGGAUGACGGCCUUCGGGUUGUAAACCUCUUUCAGCACAGACGAAGCGCAAGUGACGGUAUGUGCAGAAGAAGCACCGGCCAACUACGUGCCAGCAGCCGCGGUAAUACGUAGGGUGCGAGCGUUGUCCGGAAUUACUGGGCGUAAAGAGCUCGUAGGUGGUUUGUCGCGUUGUUCGUGAAAACUCACAGCUUAACUGUGGGCGUGCGGGCGAUACGGGCAGACUGGAGUACUGCAGGGGAGAUUGGAAUUCCUGGUGUAGCGGUGGAAUGCGCAGAUAUCAGGAGGAACACCGGUGGCGAAGGCGGGUCUCUGGGCAGUAACUGACGCUGAGGAGCGAAAGCGUGGGGAGCGAACAGGAUUAGAUACCCCCGUAGUCC
rnacentral:rRNA from 1 species